rnacentral:rRNA from 1 species
AUCACUAAGCGGAGGAAAAGAAACUAACAAGGAUUCCCUUAGUAGCGGCGAGCGAACCGGGAAGAGCCCAGCUUGAAAAUCGCGCCGUUUCGCGGCCGAGUUGUAGUCUGGAGAAGUGUCCUCUGCAGCGGACCCGUCCUAAGUCCCCUGGAAAGGGGCGUCGGAGAGGGUGAGAACCCCGUCGGGCCGGGACCCUGCUGCUCCACGAGGCGCUGUCGACGAGUCGGGCUGUUUGGGAAUGCAGCCCUAAGUGGGAGGUAAAUUCCUUCCAAGGCUAAAUAUCGGCGGGAGACCGAUAGCGAACAAGUACCGCGAGGGAAAGAUGAAAAGGACUUUGAAAAGAGAGUUAAAAAGUGCUUGAAAUUGCUGGGAGGGAAGCGAAUGGAGGCCUCGUGUGCGCCCCGGUCGGAUGCGGAACGGCGUCAAAGCUGGUCCGCCGCUCGACGCGGGGCGCUGGUCGGCGUGGGCUUCCCCGGCGGGAUAAAAGUCGGCCAUCGCGGCCGGCCGAUGCCGUCGGGGAGGCCGAGGAACCUUUACGAAACGGAAGCGCGCGCCUCCUCCGGGGGGAUGGCGGGCCCUUGCCGGGGGGCACCCGCGCGCUCGGGACGUCGGCGCAGUGGGCUU